rnacentral:rRNA from 1 species
UGCCCUAGUAACGGCGAGUGAAGCGGCAACAGCUCAAAUUUGAAAUCUGGCUCUUUCAGAGUCCGAGUUGUAAUUUGCAGAGGGCGCUUUGGCGUUGGCAGCGGUCCAAGUUCUUUGGAACAGGACGUCACAGAGGGUGAGAAUCCCGUACGUGGUCGCUAGACUUCGCCGUGUAAAGCCCCUUCGACGAGUCGAGUUGUUUGGGAAUGCAGCUCUAAAUGGGAGGUAAAUUUCUUCUAAAGCUAAAUACUGGCCAGAGACCGAUAGCGCACAAGUAGAGUGAUCGAAAGAUGAAAAGCACUUUGGAAAGAGAGUCAAAUAGCACGUGAAAUUGUUGAAAGGGAAGCGCUUGCAGCCAGACUUGCCUGUAGUUGCUUAUCCAGACUUUUGUCUGGUGCACUCUUCUGCGGGCAGGCCAGCAUCAGUUUGGGCGGUUGGAUAAAGGUCUCUAUCACGUACCUCUCUUCGGGGAGGCCUUAUAGGGGAGACGCCAUGCAACCAGCCCAGACUGAGGUCCGCGCAUCUGCUAGGAUGCUGGCGUAAUGGCUGUAAGCGGCCCGUCUUGAAACACGGACCAAGGAGUCUAACAUCUAUGCGAGUGUUUGGGUGUCAAGCCCAUACGCGUAAUGAAAGUGAACGGAGGUGGGAACCUUUUAGGUGCACCAUCGACCGAUCCUGAUGUCUUCGGAUGGAUUUGAGUAAGAGCAUGGCUGUUGGGACCCGAAAGAUGGUGAACUAUGCUUGAAUAGGGUGAAGCCAGAGGAAACUCUGGUGGAGGCUCGCAGCGGUUCUGACGUGCAAAUCGAUCGUCAAAUUUGGGCAUAGGGGCGAAAG